GGUAAUGUAUGUAAUCUGCUCGGGAUGAUUGUUUCUCUUUUAGCUUUUAUUUCAGGCAUUGAAUAUAGGAACAAUAAGGCUGCAGAGAUUGGCACAUAUAGUUGAAGUAGGAAAGCAAAGAAAUGAGUACAAUGAAUAAGCAGUUUUAAUGUGCUCUAGUACUUCGUUCAUAAUUCUAAAAAUGCUCCCUUGAUUUUAAAUCCUCCAAUUCGGCAUUUGGAUUUUUAUUGGAAGGAUAAAAGAUCAAAUAAUGCUAAAUUCUCAUCUUUCUUUAGAAUAAUUUCAAAUUACAAGCGCGGUUUAACAAUAAAUUUAUAAAUAGAUUGAAUUGCUGCAAUUUUUUUUGACAGGGCUAUUUCAUGCUCUCGUAAUCGCAACACUCAGUCAACAACUGUAAUUCAUGACUGUAACAAAUUAUUGAAUCGGCUGUUUCUUGUUCGGGAAGAAUAGACAUUUGACUUUUUUCCCUGUUUGACAGAACAGAAUUUGUUGAAAUUCUUGUAUACUGACUGAAACCGUUCUUUGAUUUACAAUCUCGUAAAGGAGUUGGGAAAAAAAAUUACUCUAUAGCUUUUAAAUGUCUAGUUUCUUCUAGUGAUAUUAUCUUACUGCCUAUUUUUAAAGCUACAAUUAGUAUCUUAUUACGAUUUAGUCAUAGGUUGUUCUAAAACUUCUCCACAUUCGAUAAAAGAAAAUUAUGUCGGCUUGAAUUUAAAAUCUGAAUCCACUUUUUACCUACUAGAAAUGCAAUACCUCCCUUUGCCAGAUGCAUAUUUUUCUUUCGUUAUUCUCAAUUGUUCUAAAGCUUCAUGCAGAUGUAAUAUUCUUUUAUUCAUAGCCUUGGAGUUAAAUUCUGCUGUAAGGUGUAGUCCGCUGUAGAGUUGAAUUCCGUUGUCAUCUUUAUUAACCCACAACUAACGAACUAAUCUGCGAUAACUCAAAUUCUAGUCUGACGAGGUCCUGUGUAUUAUUCAAAUGUAAAAACGAAAUAUACUUUGAGGAGUAAUUGUGUUGGUUUUUUCAUAAGUAAUUUUAAGUAGAAGUUAGAACGAAAGCAUGUAGUGAAUGCGAGCGAAUUAUAUUUGAAACAGCGAAGUGGUCAAAAUAGGAUCUAGGUAAUCUUUUAAAACUAAUUUUUUAGACGAAACAUUUCGUUUCAGCUUUAAAAUGUCCCAACAUGAAACUAUUCUGGACUUGCAAAAAAACGUUUUGGACAAAAUUUGCGUACUUUAUCUACGUGCUAAGAUAUAAUAUUUAUAAUAUAUUUUUAUAAGAUGGGAUAGGCAUUUAAAAGGAAACUUGAAGAAAAAUUGUUGUGCUUAAAAUGAAAUCAAAACAGCUUGAACCAAUUUUGAUCAAAUUAGGUCUUAAAAUGGAGAAGGGCAUGAAAUAAUAGUGGAGUUCCGUCCAUCUGAAAUCGGCAGUGAAUUUUAGUAAGAUGAAUAUUUAAAAUUACGAGAUCAUUUAGUUCCUAUUUUAAUUGGUUUAAAAAUUGUUCCUUUAAAAUUGCUCGGACGUGUAAUGUCGAAAAAAUACUCAAUUAGGUUUCCUUACUCUUUUGGAAAUUCACUUCUGAGAACCUUCUCGGAUGAUUUUUAAGAAUAAUUUGAAAGCCUUCAGAAUGCAUUCGAAUCAAUAUUUCUGAUAUUGUGUUAAAAUGCGAAAGAAAUAUUCUUAAUCUUUGGAUAUUCUGUGCAAGCGGUCUCUAAGCGGCCAGAUUACUACAAUAAUGUGGUCAUUACUUGGCAUUGUCUGGUGCAAUGGGAUCUUUGCUGUUUUUCAUACCAUGUACUUGAGAACAGAAAGAAUAAAAAAAUGAAUGAUAUUUUUGGGAACUUGGAUCUUCAGUUUGUACUGAAAGAACUUGCUCUAUGUUUUUAAUGUUGAUUCAUUUGGAGUCAUUACCAUAUGCAUUGGUUAUCUGUUGGAAAAAGGACAUAUUCCAAUGCCAUUUCGAACACUACUGUUUGGAAUUGAAACUCGGAUACUAUCGAAAGCGGAUACCUGCAUAUCCGAGAAACCAUUUCAGGAUGGAAUCGAAAUGAUAUCGGUUGGGAAACAAAGAACCUGUAUUAUUUCUCUUCUGGUGAAUAGACGUGCCAUCCACCACAAAAGAGACUGGUUUCUACAUCCCACAUGACUUAUGAUUUGUCAAUUUUACUGGAUUCGAGAAAAUAUUCCUUUAAGAAAAUAGAUUUACCAAUUGAUGUAAAGAAAUUCAAACAUGAUUGGGACAUGUCUUUCAAAGUAGUUGCAGCAUUUUCAUUUCCCUCAACACGGAUAAAUUAAAGCACGUGUCAUCCUGAGAUCACUUUCUUUGUAUAUAGGGACAGAAUGAAUCCGAGAUCUGAGUUUGUCAGCGUGUGACAUCCAUGAGCAAGAUCGUCUUCAAUAGGACAGCGUUCGGGUAGGAAUCGCAAAGAGCUGAAAUGUUCCAGGUAUAUGCUAACAUGAAAUAACCGAAAUGGGCGAAGGGAAAUAAUUCUCUGGUUUUCGUUUAGCAUUUUGAAAUUAAUCUUACAUUUAUGGAUGGAGAGUCAGAAGAUAUGGCUAAUAAUCUGUAAAAUCCUCAAUGCAUAUCACGCCAAAAAACGCGACUACGAAUACCGAUCUUCAGAACUAAACUGAUAGCAAUUUGGAUAGCCAGAAAAGGAUCUAUUCGGUAUCAACCUGAGAAAUCGGCAUGUUGCAAUAAUUUGGAUAACUAUCCUUCUUAAAUGAAUAUAGGAAUAAACAUGCCAUCAACCAUCAGAAGACCGACUGCAUUCUCAACUCCUUGACGAAUUGACAAUUUAAACAGGAUACAGAAAAUAUUGAAGAUGACAUCGAAAUAGAAAUACAAAUACACCUAUGAUGCAGAUUCAAUCCAUAAUUACUUGGGAACAUUUAUUGAGACGGAUGCAACCAACCAUUUCCCAAUACAAGAAUCAAUGAAAUCGAAACGCGUAUGAUUGGAUCAACUUGUCCAUGUAAGGGUAGAAUUGAUCGGUCGCCUGAGAAUGCUACAAUCGCCUAGAACUUCGUUGCCUUCCAACCAAGUACCUCUUCAGAUGGUGAAACUGAUGGGAUAAGGAUGUUCCCAGAUGCCUGCUCACAUGUUUCAACUGAAAUGAUUGCAAUAAAGCAAACGUUUUGACCCGUCAUUAAACGCAUUUUGGAAUUCGAAGCUUCUACAAGUGAAUUGCGAGAUAAGAUUGAGGUGAUCCAAUUGAUAUUUUGUAAAUCAUGUGAUUAAUUUCAAGCUCAAUUUGUAAUUAAAUGCUAGUAUAAAACCCCCAAUAUAUGAAGAAUCUGCUAGAAAUAUUUCUUCGAUAUGCGUUAAUUCUGAAUAUCCAGGCAUGUUUAAAAUGUUUGCUCCUGAAUUAAGGUUAAGCGAAAUUUGUAUAUUUACUUUUUGCAGAAUACUAUUGACAAAUGGUGAACCACUUUGUUUCAAACUCUAUGAAAGCUUGAAGUUAGAGCUAUAACUUCCGUAUGUUUUAUAUCGCCAUUAUUUGUUCAAAACGAUAAUUGAUAUAUCAACCAAUAUUUAAUCUUUGCUCAUUCAGAAAGAAACUGAAUAAAAUUACGACAUGUAUUGUAAUGCCUAUUCAGUUCUUUCAAAGCAUAUUUUGUACUCUUUUGUAAACAAGCUCUGGAAAUUAUUUUUAGAUUGUAGCGAAAUUCCUGGUGAUAUAUUUUGUGGUUCACUAUUUUGCUAGCAAUCCCUUUUUCUUAAAAGAUGGAAGCACGAUACAUUUGUUCGCUGUAUAAUGAAUAAAAUCUUUGUUUAAAAUUGUACUUGUGACCAUGCCUAUUUGAAGGCAUGUUAAUUAGCCUAUUAUGAGCUCUGAAUUCAUAAUUAUUAUUACAACUAUAACUUGGAGCUAAGAAUUGGAAUUAUUCCAUUUAUUUUUCCCCAUAGUAUUUUUUGUCUUCCACCAUAAUCAUUUGUAUUAUGAUAUUGGUGAAUUGUUAAUCUUAAAUGACGGACUUCCACUGUAUAAUUUUGAAAAUUGAGCUUUUCUAUUUUUGAAAUCUUGUUAAACUUCGCUAUAUCGGUAGAAUAUCUUGCUGUUUAAUCUGAAAUUUUAUGAAAUUGCUGCUCUUCUUACUAUAGUAUCGAGUCAAUUCAUUUGUCUUCAUUUUGCGAGUGUGAAAUGAAUAUCAAAGAAUACUACACGAUUAAAAAUAUUAUAUGGAUAAUUGUAGUACCUAUAUCAAACUUUGUAUAUUUUAUAAGAAUCUUGAUAUUCUCAUUUGUAAUAGUUUUAGGAUUUGGGAAUUUAUCUUAUGUAAUAGAAAAUUUCUAUCUUGAAUAAGAGCGUUAUUCCAAAAGCUCUCUAAAAUGAAAUUAUGUUUGAUAUGUAAUAUAAAUUGUAUUAUUCAGUUAAUAUAAUGCACGAAUAGACUUCCUUAACGGAAGAAACGUGUUUGUAUUAUGUAUAGAAGACGAGGUAGAAAGAUGGAUUGUCAACAUUCAUAUUUGUUUUCCAGAAGAAUAUUCGAAAUAAGAUCAAUCGAAAUUUCAAAUAUUCUAAAUUAAGGAGCGUGCUACAAUGCCGCGUUUUGAUGAAAUAUCUUAAUAUUUAUUGUUUAAAAAAAUAUUAGCAAUCAUAUUUCAAAUAUUAACUUCUUAAUUUCAGAAUAUUUCAUAAUUGUUAAUGUAAUUAUAUUAAAGUGUUUCAAUUUCUUUAUCUUAAAAUUCUUAACAUUAAUUUUUUGC